rnacentral:lncRNA from 1 species
AAAAAAUCGAGUGUACCGAUGUUCAAUCUAAAAGUGUACGACGCGACAUAAACGACGUCAUACAGCUAUUGGCCAAUUAUUGUGACGUCAUUUGACGUUAGCUGAUUGAAUAUGGAUAGCGAAACUCAAGGACUACUAAAUUUAUCGAUGGCUGCAUUCAUAAAAUUACUGAAUGUCAUGGUUUUGCCAUCGCAGCAUUCAAAAUCUAAGAGAACUUAUAAAUGUGUGACAUAUGUCGUUUUAAAAAACAACAAAGUUUCAAUAACCAGCUCAUACUCCGAUUGGACGGAUGGUCAACGUAUUCUUGUAUGCAGCGUAGGAAGUUAAACAAGAGUAAACUUCCGCGUAAAGACGCACGUCCAGCCAUAUAGCGGAAGUAACAUCAUCAAUACGUGUCGGUAACGUGUAGUUUCCACUGCAAACGUAUGGAAGAAUAUUUUGUGGAUCCGGUGAUAGUGCACACGUUCAUUCACCAAUCAAACAUACAGAAGGAAGAAAAAGGAAGAUAGGAAAGGAAAGAGGGUUAGUGAACCAAAUCUAAACUUUUUGGGUUUUCCAGAACAGUAGAAGGAAAAAAUAUUGCAAUGGAGAAAUCGACGACAGUCAUAAGCAGUGGGAUUCAGCAGGUUCGCACAGGUUCGACAGAACCGAUACCUAAAUUUUUAUUGAGUUCGGCUAACCGGAUUUACAUUCCUUAAGCCUAGAACACACCGAGACUUUUCUGCGCAGAAAUGCAGAAUGCAGAAAAG